rnacentral:rRNA from 1 species
AACGAACGCUGGCGGCAUGCCUAAUACAUGCAAGUCGAACGAGAUCUUCGGAUCUAGUGGCGCACGGGUGCGUAACGCGUGGGAAUCUACCCUUGGGUUCGGAAUAACAGUUAGAAAUGACUGCUAAUACCGGAUGAUGACGUAAGUCCAAAGAUUUAUCGCCCAAGGAUGAGCCCGCGUAAGAUUAGCUAGUUGGUGAGGUAAAGGCUCACCAAGGCUACGAUCUUUAGCUGGUCUGAGAGGAUGAUCAGCCACACUGGGACUGAGACACGGCCCAGACUCCUACGGGAGGCAGCAGUAGGGAAUAUUGGACAAUGGGCGAAAGCCUGAUCCAGCAAUGCCGCGUGAGUGAUGAAGGCCUUAGGGUUGUGAAGCUCUUUUGUCCGUGACGAUAAUGACGGUAGCGGACGAAUAAGCCCUGGCUAACUCUGUGCCAGCAGCCGCGG